UCAGUUCUACACCACAAUAAAGGGAGUCAAAUUAAUUUUUUGGUUUCCCAGGGCAUAUAAAAAUUAUUACUAAAAAAACAAUACAUAUAUAUAUAUACAUAUAUAUAUAUACCUUAAUUCAAAAAUAUUUUAUUGCUAAAAAAUGCUAACCAUCAUCUGAGCUUUCAGUGAGUUGUAAUCUUUUUUGCUGGUGGAGGGUCUUGCCUCAAUCUUGAUAGCUGCUACUGAUCAGGAUGGUAGUGGCUGAAGGCUGAGUGGCUGUGGCAAUUCUCUAAAACUGGACAAUUUUGUAUUGUAUCGACUCUUCCUUUUGUAAACAAUUUCUCUGUAACGUGAUGCUUUUGA